UGAUAAAUUAUCCGGACUUCUUUCAGCGGAUUGAUUGAUAGCCGUCCUCCAGAGUGAACAGAACUGCGUCUAUGGCCACGCUCUGGAUUUGCAUGGCACACAUUCAAAUGAAGCUCAGC